rnacentral:rRNA from 1 species
AUUGAACGCUGGCGGCAUGCCUUACACAUGCAAGUCGAACGGCAGCACGGGGCAACCUGGUGGCGAGUGGCGAACGGGUGAGUAAUGCAUCGGAACGUACCUUUCAGUGGGGGAUAACGUAGCGAAAGUUACGCUAAUACCGCAUAUUCUGUGAGCAGGAAAGCAGGGGAUCGCAAGACCUUGCGCUGAUUGAGCGGCCGAUGUAAGAUUAGCUAGUUGGUGAGGUAAAGGCUCACCAAGGCGACGAUCUGUAGCGGGUAUGAGAGGAUGAUCCGCCACACUGGAACUGAGACACGGUCCAGACUCCUACGGGAGGCAGCAGUGGGGAAUUUUGGACAAUGGGGGCAACCCUGAUCCAGCCAUGCCGCGUGAGUGAAGAAGGCCUUCGGGUUGUAAAGCUCUUUCGGCCGGGAAGAAAUCGCACGGGCUAAUACCCUGUGUGGAUGACGGUACCGGAAUAAGAAGCACCGGCUAACUACGUGCCAGCCGCCGCGGUAAGAC